rnacentral:rRNA from 1 species
ACGCACGCUGGCGGCGUGCUUAACACAUGCAAGUCGAACGGAAAGGCCCUGCUUGCAGGGUACUCGAGUGGCGAACGGGUGAGUAACACGUGGGUGAUCUGCCCUGCACUUCGGGAUAAGCCUGGGAAACUGGGUCUAAUACCGGAUAGGAGCCAUUUUUAGUGUGAUGGUUGGAAAGUUUUUUCGGUGUAGGAUGAGCUCGCGGCCUAUCAGCUUGUUGGUGGGGUAAUGGCCUACCAAGGCGGCGACGGGUAGCCGGCCUGAGAGGGUGGACGGCCACAUUGGGACUGAGAUACGGCCCAGACUCCUACGGGAGGCAGCAGUGGGGAAUAUUGCACAAUGGGCGCAAGCCUGAUGCAGCGACGCCGCGUGGGGGAUGACGGCCUUCGGGUUGUAAACUCCUUUCGCUAGGGACGAAGCUUUUUGUGACGGUACCUAGAUAAGAAGCACCGGCUAACUACGUG